AUACGGAGGAUGCACGCGUUAUCCGGAUUUAUUGGGUUUAACGGGUGCGUAGGCGGUUUGCUAAGCGGGGGGUGAAAUGCCGGGGCUCAACGUCGGAAGUGCCUCCCGAACUGGGGGACUGGAAUGACUCUGCCGUGGGAGGAAUGUGUAGGGUAGCGGUGAAAUGCUUCGAGAUUAGACAGAACACCGAUUGCGAAGGCAUCUCACGAAGGGUUGAUUGACGCUGAGGCACGAAAGCGUGGGGAUCAAACAGGAUUAGAUGCCCUGGUAGUCCACGCAGUAAACGAUGAUGGAUAACCUCUGGUUUAUUCGGAUCAGUGGCCAAGCGAAAGCGAUAAGCCAUCCACCUGGGGAGUACGACCGCAAGGUUGAAACUCAAAUGAAUUGGCGGGG
rnacentral:rRNA from 1 species